CACAUCCUGGUUCCGGCCGGCCAGGUUCCCCGGUGCGAGCCAGGCUCCUCAGGGAAGAGAACAAAUCACACCCUAUAUGAUCCACUGCCCGCACCACUCCUAUCUUCUUCCGCUUCUCACGUCUUCACAGCUCGUCCUGCGUCGUCCUCCCAAUCACACCGGCGCCGCCUCCGCCGCACCCCAGCCCCUCCCCCACGGUGCCCUGCCAGCCUCGUAGCUUCCUCUCCGUCCACCACCGGCGUCUCCUGGCGCCCACGCUGACGCUGCCUCGCCUCGCCGCCAGCCUGGCCUUCGGCUGCCUUCCUCUCGAUCAAUCGAUAAGAGUCCCAACUCCAGACUGCCAAGGUUUACCGUCGCUUGCUCCAAUUGCUACAUUCAGAAGAUGACAACGCCCUUUCAAAGAAAAAAAAGAGGGUCAAUGGCUAUGAGGAGGUGGUGGGGCAACUGUGAACUGUGAGCGGCAAGGAUGACAUUGAACUCGGCAGAUCAAUGAAGCAUUAGAAAUGCAUGCAAGCUGGUCCACAUCUCCUCACCGACUUCGAUUUAAAUGAUGAUGGGAACGAGAAUUUUAUAGGAAAUCUUCAAUAUUUUUUUAUUAUGAAUAGUGCAUUCGUUGCAUGUUACUCGAGUUCUAACGUAGGCAUGGGCAAAGUUUUAUUGCUACCACAGUAAUGGAUAGGCUCUUUGGCCGGUAGAAGAGCACCCAUCACCAAGCAAUCGGGGCAGAAAAAUAAAGUAUAUAUGGAUACGGGCAUUUUAUAAUCGGAUACUGGUACUGAUCCACUACUUUGGCGUAAGAAACAACCCCAGUCAACUACUUAGUCUGCAUUCAUCAACUUACUGCCAAAAUGCAGUCUUCUCUAUAUAUGUUCCUAAACAAAUACUAAGUUAACUUCCUUUCAGCUUAGCUA